rnacentral:rRNA from 1 species
GUACUAUCCGGGAGACACACGGCGGGUGCUAACGUCCGUCGUGGAGAGGGAAACAACCCAGACCGCCAGCUAAGGUCCCAAAUUACAGCUAAGUGGGAAACGAUGUGGGAAGGCUUAGACAGCUAGGAUGUUGGCUUAGAAGCAGCCAUCAUUUAAAGAAAGCGUAAUAGCUCACUAGUCGAGUCGGCCUGCGCGGAAGAUGUAACGGGGCUAAGUUGUAAACCGAAGCUGCGGCAAUAUCUUUUAGAUAUUGGGUAGGGGAGCGUUCUGUAAGCCGUUGAAGGUGUGUUGUAAAGCAUGCUGGAGGUAUCAGAAGUGCGAAUGCUGACAUGAGUAACGACAAGGGGGGUGAAAAACCUCCCCGCCGGAAGACCAAGGGUUCCUGUCCAACGUUAAUCGGGGCAGGGUAAGUCGACCCCUAAGGCGAGGCCGAAAGGCGUAGUCGAUGGGAAACGGGUUAAUAUUCCCGUACUUCUUACAAUUGCGAUGGGGGGACGGAGAAGGCUAGGUGGGCCUGGCGACGGUUGUCCAGGUUCAAGUGCGUAGGCUGAGUGUUUAGGUAAAUCCGGAUACUCUUAAGGCUGAGACACGACGUCGAGCUACUACGGUAGUGAAGUCAUUGAUGCCAUGCUUCCAGGAAAAGCCUCUAAGCUUCAGAUUGUAAGGAAUCGUACCCCAAACCGACACAGGUGGUCGGGUAGAGAAUACCAAGGCGCUUGAGAGAACUCGGGUGAAGGAACUAGGCAAAAUGGUACCGUAACUUCGGGAGAAGGUACGCUCUUGAUGGUGAAGUCCCUUGCGGAUGGAGCUGACGAGAGUCGCAGAUACCAGGUGGCUGCAACUGUUUAUUAAAAACACAGCACUGUGCAAAAUCGUAAGAUGACGUAUACGGUGUGACGCCUGCCCGGUGCCGGAA